AAGUGACGGUGAGAUCCAGGCU
rnacentral:miRNA from 2 species